rnacentral:rRNA from 1 species
GAUCAGGUAGGAAUACCCGCUGAACUUAAGCAUAUCAA